rnacentral:rRNA from 1 species
AUUGAACGCUGGCGGCAUGCCUUACACAUGCAAGUCGAACGGCAGCACGGGAGCUUGCUCCUGGUGGCGAGUGGCGAACGGGUGAGUAAUACAUCGGAACGUACCCUGAAGUGGGGGAUAACGUAGCGAAAGUUACGCUAAUACCGCAUAUUCUGUGAGCAGGAAAGAGGGGGAUCGCAAGACCUCUUGCUUUAGGAGCGGCCGAUGCGGAUUAGCUAGUUGGUGAGGUAAAGGCUCACCAAGGCGACGAUCCGUAGCGGGUCUGAGAGGAUGAUCCGCCACACUGGGACUGAGACACGGCCCAGACUCCUACGGGAGGCAGCAGUGGGGAAUUUUGGACAAUGGGCGCAAGCCUGAUCCAGCCAUGCCGCGUGAGUGAAGAAGGCC